rnacentral:rRNA from 1 species
GACGAACGCUGGCGGCGUGCUUAACACAUGCAAGUAGAGCGGAGCGGCGAACGGGUGAGUAACGCGUGAGUAACUGCACCCCGCUCGGGGAUAAGAGUUAGAAACGGCUGCUAAUACCGGAUAGUGGGGGAUGACUUGCGUCCUAUCAGCUUGUUGGGUGGGUAGUGGACUCCCAAAGCGACGACGGGUAGCCGGCCUGAGAGGGCGACCGGCCACAGUGGGUGGAGGUACGGCCCAAACUCCUACGGGAGGCAGCAGUGGGGAACAUUGCACAAUGGGGGAAAGCCUGAUGCAGCAACGCCGCGUGCGGGAUGACGGCCUUCGGGUUGUAAACCGCUUUCAGCCAUGACGCGGUAGUGGCAGAAGAAGCACCGGCUAACUACGUGCCAGCAGCCGCGGUAAUAC